AGCCCGAACUCGGCAGCAAACCGUACUGAGUCCUUCCAACCACAGCAGGAACUUUACUAUAUGUUCUCAGGUCCCAAUCACUAAGCCUAGGCCUUGACAAGAUGAAGCUGGCGAGCCCCACUUAGCGUGCUCUGGACUGCUGUGCUGGAGAAAUGACAGGGUCUUAACACCCCCGAGCAUUCAUAAUCACCUCUGAGCUGCACCCCAUCCCGCAGCCAGUUGAUGCUCUGCACAUCAUCGCGAAGCCGACAGCGAAGCUGUAGCAGGUCGCCAGGGUGGACCAGGAGAGACUCCACUUCCACAGGGACUCCCCAGGGCUGAGCUGCAGCAGCCACCCACAAGGGCCAGGAGGAAGAGCCAAGUGGAGAAAGGAGGAGGAGAAAGGGAGUUAGACAGCAGGUAAGCUCUCAGCUGCAGUUCCAGUGCCUUGCCUGCCCGUGUGCUGCCAUGGUUGCCACCAGGAUGGUCGCGGACUCACCCCUCUGAAACUGAGUUUACCAUCUAGUCCUAGAACUGGCAGGGAUCUCAGGUCUAACCACCAUCUGGCCUCCUUCUUGUGUCAGGGUCUCACUUUGCAGCCCUGGCUAGCCCAGAACUCACAGAGGUCCACCAGCUUCUUCAUCCUCCAUGCUGGGGUUCAAGCAGUCAAUAGGAGACAGCCAUUAAAGAAAUCCUCGGGGGCACACCUGUCUGUGGAGACCGCCAAUGCAGCCCACUCGUGACACAGGAAUCAGCAGAGCUGGAACAGCACCGUAUGGUAUAAGAUCACUUCCUGGGGUUGUAAGAUGGCUCACUUGGCAAGAAAACUUCCUGAAAAGCCUGACUUGAGUUCUGCCUCCAGGACUCCCGUGGUAGAGAGUGGUAGAGAGAACUGACUCUUACAAACUAUCCUCUGACCACCACAUGUGCACUAUGGCAUAUACACAUGUCCCUGAACACGUGCACGUGUGCUCGAGUGUAUGUGUGUGCACACGCACGCGCACACACACACCACUAAUAUAAAAU
rnacentral:lncRNA from 1 species